rnacentral:ncRNA from 1 species
UCGAUUUCGUUGAAAAGGAAAGUAAGUUUGGAAACUUUGCAGAGAGGCUCUGGCUGGUGAGAAGAGUCAAGUAAGAAAAGCUGAAAAUGGCCUUGGAGAAUAAUUUGUCGAUAAGUAGGCAAAUUCGGAACUGUUCGACCGUUAAAACGAACGCCAAUCUCUCUUUUUGAGAUGUUGGGCUUGAGGGAAGGAAACUUCCGAAAAAAGGUGGUACCGCGAUACGUCGUCCUUUUA